GGGCCGGUAGCUCAAUCGGCAGAGCAGUGGUCUUUUAAACCACAGGUUGGGGAUUCGAUGCCCUCCCGGUUCA
rnacentral:tRNA from 2 species